rnacentral:rRNA from 1 species
UACGUAGGGUGCAAGCGUUGUUCGGAAUUACUGGGCGUAAAGCGCACGUAGGCGGCUUUGUAAGUUAGAGGUGAAAGCCCGGGGCUCAACUCCGGAAUUGCCUUUAAGACUGCAUCGCUAGAAUUGUGGAGAGGUAAGUGGAAUUCCGAGUGUAGAGGUGAAAUUCGUAGAUAUUCGGAAGAACACCAGUGGCGAAGGCGACUUACUGGACACAUAUUGACGCUGAGGUGCGAAAGCGUGGGGAGCAAACAGG